GUAUUUAACGUACCACUUAACAAUAAUUAAACCAAUUGCUCGUAAUAUGAUUAAGGCAUGUGAUUAAUCUGUUUGGCUGAAUUUAUUCACAGGGAAAAUCAUCAGGUUGUGAGCAGAUGUCUAAAUGAUCUGUUUCCAUUGCACAUAUGUCAAUAAGCAAUACAAAUUAGCGACCUUUUAAAUUAAGGGCGCUAUCCUUUCUUCUGGUCAAUUACCUAGUGUUAAUGUCUUAUCUUGUAUGUACAACAUGUUAUUCUCUGUUCAGCUCACUGGCAUGACCAAUGUUAAUUAUUCAGUACGCUAAUGAAAUUCAAAAAUAAAAAAGCAUGUUAUAUGAUUAAUUUAAUUUUCUUGUUUCAUGCAGUUUGGAGAAAUUCGUGGUUACCACCAGUCUCGAGUUAGAUUUAUUUCAAUUGCAACCAGGCAGAGUGUUGUGAAUUUGAAUUUGGGUGUGCAUGAUCUUACUAGCUUCUAAUUCUACGGAGCCAUACGGAUGAUGGUGUGUUUGCUCUCACACAUUUAUUCAAAGGAUCAUUGUGAUGAAUGAUACCAAUUCUAGGUUGCUGGAACUUGCAUCCAAUCCUUCUAUUCCCAACUGAUGAGUUUAUAGGUUGCAGUGUUUGUGGUGGUCUCCUCCUGAUGGAGCUCAGUAUAUGCCCUUCUUGUUUACCUAAAAAUCUCUUCUCUCCUAAGAUCUUGUAGGAAUCUUUCUUUUUUCCUUAAGAAGCAUGCUACCAAUGGACGCCAGAUGUUCCAGCACCGAAAAGUUGGUGACCAUGCUUGGGUGUUUCAGAAUUCAUAUGAAAAGCAUUUAUUUUUUACUUUCAGGGAUUGCUCCAUCUUGCAGUUUCUAAUAUGGCUGGACAAUUACGAUUUCACAUAUAUCUGAAAAACCACAGCCCAUCUGUGUUCUAUAAACGUUGGUGUGGUCUUAUGUGCACCAAGAAUUCUGUCAUUAACAUAAGGUAUUUUACACCCGCACUGCAAACUGUUGAUAAAUCUGAUGUGUUGCUUGCACUGAGAAUUCUUACAUUUGCGUAAGGUAUUUUACACUGGCGUUGUGAACUCAUUGACAAUUAGCAUUCAUCAGCUAAGCACACCUCGAUGUACGCAGCCUGU